CUCGCAAUAGUGAUGAACUCCUCCUCAGACACUAAUAAGGAAGGUCCUGCCUCCUGCUAGACUAUGAAAGUCAGGGCCAUGGGAAAAAUCAAAAAUGACCUUGAUCGGACCGGCAAUGAGGACCAAGAAAGAGGUAAAGGAGACUCCUCCUAAACCACUUUCAUAAUGGGGGAAGAGCUACCCUUAGGGGUAUUGCAACAACAACCCCCUAUGUGUCACCU
rnacentral:lncRNA from 1 species